AUACUUACUUGGCAGGGGAGAUGCGAUGAUCACGAAGGUGGUUUUCCCAGGGCGAGGCUUACCCAUUGCACUCCGGACGUGUUGACCCUGUGAUUUCCCCAAACGUGUGAAACUCAACUGCAUAAUUUGUGGUAGUUGGGGAAUGCAUUCAUGCUUUCCCCUG
rnacentral:snRNA from 1 species